UGAGGUAUGGAAAAAUUACAAAGAAACUCUUGGAGAACAUGUUAAAAAAAGAUGCACAAAGUGUUGAAAAUUUUAGUGCACACAAAUAUUCCCCAAGCUGGAACUUCUUCAAUUUUCACUUAUCCCUUACCAACUCAAGGUAGUUUUUUAAUCCUUAUCUGUGUGUUUUCCUAUGUUUUUAUUUUUUAUUUUCUUCCCUAGACUGAGAUAGGUUUCAAAGAGGGCACCACAAAAAAUAUUUUCACAAGUCACAUGCAAGGCAACUGAUCCAAUUAUGAUUACGAAAAUGUCACCUUUAGGGAAUGGUGCAAAUGAUUUUCCACAGCAAUGCUGCAAAAUCUGCACAUCAUCUGAAAGAACAAGAUUAUCUUCAGAAUCAGCUCCCCAGAAGAAGGGCAC
rnacentral:lncRNA from 1 species